GGAGCCCCUAUGGGGUGGGGUCUCUAUGGGGUGGGGGCCCUUAUGGGGUGGCUAUGGGAUGGGGUCCCUACGGGGUGGGGUCUCUAUGGGGUGUUGGCCCCUAUGGGGUCACUAUGGGGUGGGGUCCCUAUUGGGUGGUUAUGGGGCAGGGGACUCUAUGGGGUCGCUAUGGGGUCGCUAUGGGGCUGCUAUGGGGCAGGGGUCCUUAUGGGGUCCUUAUGGGGUCCUUAUGGGGUCGGUAUGGGGCUGCUAUGUGGUCCUUAUGGGGUGGUGGUUGCUAUGGGGUCCCUAUAGAGUCGCUGUGGGGUGGGAGUCACUAUAGGGUGGGGCCGCUAUGGGGCCGCUAUGGGGUGUGACUGCCUGUAGGGUGGGGUCGCUAUGGGGCCACUAUGGGGUGGGGGUCCCUAUAGGGUGGGGUCGCUAUGGGGCCGCUAUGGGGGAGGGAUCCCUGUAGGGUGGGGUCGCUAUAGGGCCGCUAUGGGGCGGGGGUCCCUAUAGGGUGGGGAUCCCUAUAGGGUGGGGCCGCUAUGGGGUGGGGAUCUGUACAGAGUGGGGUCGAUAUAGGGCUGCUAUGGGGCCGGGGUCCCUAUAGGGUGGGGUCGCUAUGGGGCCGCUAUGGGGCUGCUAUGGAGUGGGGGUCCCUAUAGGGUGGGGAUCCCUAUAGGGUGGGGUCGCUAUAGGGCCGCUAUGGGGCCGCUAUGGGGCGGGGGUCCCUAUAGGGUGGGGAUCCCUAUAGGGUGGGGUCGCUAUGGGGCCGCUAUGGGAUGGGGAUCCCUAUAGGGUGGGGUCGCUAUGGGGCCGCUAUGGGAUGGGGAUCCCUAUAGGGUGGGGUCGCUAUAGGGCCGCUAUGGGGCGGGGGUCCCUAUAGGGUGGGGUCGCUAUGGGGCCGCUAUGGGGCAGGGGUCCCUAUAGGGUGGGGAUCCCUAUAGGCUGGGGUCGCUAUGGGGCCGCUAUGGGGUGGGGAUUCCUAUAGGGAGGGGUCGCUAUAGGGCCGCUAUGGGGCGGGGGUCCCUAUAGGGUGGGGAUCCCUAUAGGGUGGGGUCACUAUGGGGCCGCUAUGGGAUGGGGAUCCCUAUAGGGUGGGGUCGCUAUAGGGCCGCUAUGGGGCCGCUAUGGGGCGGGGGUCCCUAUAGGGUGGGGUCGCUAUGGGGCCGCUAUGGGGCAGCGCUAUGGGGUGGGGACGUGGCAGUACCUCCAUGGCCGUUCGGUCCCCUCCGCCCCACUCGCGGCCCCCCGACCCCCCCGUGGCUGUGGGGUG
ensembl:lncRNA